GGCCAGACUCCUACGGGAGGCAGCAGUGGGGGAUAUUGCACAAUGGGGGAAACCCUGAUGCAGCGACGCCGCGUGGGCGAAGAAGUAUUUCGGUAUGUAAAGCCCUCUCAGCAGGGAAGAAGAAAUGACGGUACCUGAGUAAGAAGCACCGGCUAAAUACGUGCCAGCAGCCGCGGUAAUACGUAUGGUGCAAGCGUUAUCCGGAUUUACUGGGUGUAAAGGGGGCGCAGACGGCGAUGCAAGCCAGGAGUGAAAGCCCGGGGCCCAACCCCGGGACUGCUCUUGGAACUGCGUGGCUGGAGUGCAGGAGGGGCAGGCGGAAUUCCUGGUGUAGCGGUGAAAUGCGUAGAUAUCAGGAGGAACACCGGUGGCGAAGGCGGCCUGCUGGACUGCAACUGACGUUGAGGCCCGAAAGCGUGGGGAGCAAACAGGAUUAGAUACCCUCGUAGGG
rnacentral:rRNA from 1 species